rnacentral:rRNA from 1 species
GGANUUGCGAUGGGCGAAAGCCUGACGCAGCAACGCCGCGUGGGGGAUGAAGCCCUUCGGGGUGUAAACCCCUUUCGACCCGGACGAAUGCCCGCAAGGGCUUGACGGUACGGGUAUAAGAAGCCCCGGCUAACUACGUGCCAGCAGCCGCGGUAAAACGUAGGGGGCCAGCGUUGCUCGGAAUUACUGGGCGUAAAGGGUCCGUAGGCGGUGUGACAAGUCGGUAGUGAAAUCUCCGGGCUUAACUCGGAGGCUGCUGCCGAAACUGUUGUGCUAGAGUGCGAGAGAGGCGAGUGGAAUUGCGGGUGUAGCGGUGAAAUGCGUAGAUAUCCGCAGGAACAUCCGAGGCGAAAGCGGCUCGCUGGACGCCAACUGACGCUGAGGGACGAAAGCUAGGGGAGCAAACAGGAUUAGAUACCCUGGUAGCCCUAGCCCUAAACCAUCAGGACUUGGGGUUUGCCCUGUACGGGGCAAGUCCCGGAACUAACGCGUUAAGUCCUGCGCCUGGGGAGUACGGUCGCAAGGCUGAAACUCAAAGAAAUUGACGGA